AUUGAACGCUGGCGGCAUGCCUUACACAUGCAAGUCGAACGGUAACAGGUCUUCGGAUGCUGACGAGUGGCGAACGGGUGAGUAAUACAUCGGAACGUGCCUAGUAGUGGGGGAUAACUACUCGAAAGAGUGGCUAAUACCGCAUGAGAUCUACGGAUGAAAGCAGGGGAUCGCAAGACCUUGUGCUACUAGAGCGGCCGAUGGCAGAUUAGGUAGUUGGUGGGAUAAAAGCUUACCAAGCCAACGAUCUGUAGCUGGUCUCAGAGGACGAUCAUCCACACUGGGAGUUAGCAACCACCCAAGCUGCUACGGUCGGCGUCAGUGGGGAAUUUUGGACAAUGCGCGCAAGCCUGACCCAGCAAUGCGGCGUGCAGGAUGAAGGCCUUCGGGUUGUAAACUGCUUUUGUACGAAACGAAAAGCCCUGGGUUAAUACCCUGGGGUCAUGACGGUACCGUAAGAAUAAGCACCGGCUAACUACGUGCCAGCCGCCGCCGUAA
rnacentral:rRNA from 1 species